GUGUGUGUGUGUGUGUGUGUGUGUGUGUGUGUGUGUGUGUGUGCACGUACGUAAUGUGUGUGCGUGUGUGUGGGGGAUUUGUCGUGUGCGUGUGUCUGUGUGUGUGUGUAGGCUACCACUACCAGCAGUCCGUGUGUUUUCGCGUGACGCGUGGCUUCCCUUCCUCUCGAGCGGUCAUGCUUCUCAUUGGGCAAUUACUACGGCACCUUGCUGGGUGACCACUAUGACAUCAUCAGUCCUCACUGUGUCCAGGAAUGCGGACUUGUCUGAGGGGGGCGUGGCCCCCGCAGUAUUCCAUAUAUGGGUGUUUAGUUCAGUGUGUGGUUGCCCUCGAUCCAGGACUUUGUUAAACUUCAUUCAGACCCCGAGCUGAGUUCAGUCAUGUGCUGAUAUGCUCAGGAGCGAAUGACUCAACAAAGAUUGUGUGUGAAUGUACUGUGUAAUAUCACUCAUUGUUAUGAGUGCUAUCCUUUAUGACAUUGAUCUGAAUUCACUGUAAAUUGCUUUGGUUAAAAUGACCAAAAGUAAAUAGAAAAUGUAACAGCAUCCAGUCGACGUGUAGACAUCCUUGAGCAGGAUGCCCCUGACACCAUGCAACACAAAAGACACACACUCUUGGAGUAACACAGCCGUGUAGACAGGAAUGACUGGUGAUGAAACGCUGACCAGACAGUGGAAAAAACACUUUAAUGACGGCAAGAGAACGAAUUCUCCAAGUGUCAAAGCAGUGCCAAGCAACUCUCUCACGAGUCACGACACACAGUGAUGAUUUCUCUUCUCGCAGCUCCACCUGGUGGUCGGAGUGUUACCCACAAGGGAAUGGACUUUCGACUUUCCCACUGGAAUAAAAAGUCUAGCAUACUUUGCUUUCGCCUUAUUUUAAACCAAUUUUCUUUGCCAACUCACAUAAGGGUUGAAUAAAUGAUCCUCCAACUUGCUGAAUUAUAUACCCCGUUAUCAUGCCCUGCUAAAGAAGUCAAACAUGCACAGGUACAGCGGCCCUUUAUGAGUCAAUUAAUAUAAAGAAAAAAGCCUGAAAUAACGUGUUUGUAAAUGUUUUGGUUGAGGGGCAGUCAAGGCCAGAAAGAAGCAGCCUGAACGAAGGGAACCAUUGAAGCAGACCUCUUCAACAAGUUUAAUUUAGGAUCCAUUAUGUCGGGGAGUUGCGUUCUUUACAAUAAACACGCAGACGUUUGCUUCCACGACCCCACGCCUAAUGACAUGAGGGCAAACAUUAGCCAAGCUUAAAGAGGACAAAAAGGAAUUAUAAAAACAAAUUAUCCCCUUCGAGAGAGAGAAAGAAACCCACCAUAAUUGGGAGAAACCAAAGCGCAUG
ensembl:lncRNA